rfam:Danio rerio chromosome 19, GRCz11 reference primary assembly.
UUUAUGCUCAUUUGUAAGUCACUUUGGAUAAAAGUGUCUACAAAAUGACUAAAU